AUGAGUCACAGUACGUCUGGGCGGAUUCCAUACCUGGCGCCAGAAGUACUGGCCAAUUUUGGCAAGAAGACCAUAUGGUAUAACUCUAAGGCUGACAUAUGGUCCUUGGGAAUAUCAGCACUUCAAAUGGCGGAAGGCUAUUACCCAUUCAGCAGAUUUCCCCAGCAAAAACUCAUGAAACGCAUCAUGCAUGGACCUGCACCAGUAUUAU